UACGUAGGGUGCGAGCGUUAAUCGGAAUUACUGGGCGUAAAGCGUGCGCAGGCGGUUUUGUAAGCCGGAUGUGAAAUCCCCGGGCUUACCUGGGAAUGGCAUUCGGGACUGCAAGGCUGGAGUGCGGCAGAGGAGACUGGAAUUCCUGGUGUAGCAGUGAAAUGCGUAGAUAUCAGGAGGAACACCGAUGGCGAAGGCAGGUCUCUGGGCUGACACUGACGCUCAUGCACGAAAGCGUGGGGAGCAAACAGG
rnacentral:rRNA from 1 species